UAGAAACUCAGACAACAAUAAGAGAGAAAAAUGAAGCAGCAAGCAAUAGGGGAAUGGAUGUUUCCAAAGGGCUGUUACCCCCCUUUUUACUGCUUAUGAUUUUUUCUAUUUACCCUCUACAAAAAACAGCCCUUUCCUCUGUGUUUGUCUCUCUCUCUAUAUAUAGGGGGCCAAUCAAAUGAGGACACCCUUAAAAUGAGAACACUGAAUGAGAACACGGUGAACACUUAAAAACAUCAUUUUGAUGCAUUCAAAAUCCAUAAAACUAACCUACUGCAAUAACAAUAAGAAUCAUCUUUUGUUGUUGUUGUUGCUGCUACUACUCUUUUUAGACCAUUUGUAACCAUUCACCUUUUUUACGAAUGGUCAAGUUAUUAUAGUAAAUUACACUGAUGGUCCCUGUGGUUUGCACAUAUUUUACGAUAAUCGUUCCUGUGGUGGUUAUGAUAUUAUGCAUUAUGAGGCAGUGAUGAUGAAUGAUGAUGGUCCCUUUUGUUGUUGUCUGAGUUUUAGAUUGAGCAAAUUUUGAGAGAUUAUCCGUAUCUUGGCGGGGCAAUUUUUAUAUAUUUUGGAGGUGUCCAGGUUAGAAUUCAACGAAAACGUUGAUUCGAAACCUUUGGGAUGCAGCCGUGUUAUAUUUGCAACCAUGGCGGUUAUCUCCUCUUUAGCUUGAUCUCUUUAUACAAAUCUGAGCCUCAGCUUUAAUUUUUUGAAACUGUUCAAUUAUCCUUGAUUUAGAUCAUUAUAUAUCUCUGACUUGUGACAUUGAGGUUUUCUUUAUGGUUUUUGACUUUUUGUUUUUAGUAUAUAAGCAGAGAUAUGACUUUGAUUUUGUUUCAUAUAUAUCUCUACCUUUGGUAGGGGUAAGGUUUUCUACGUCUCAACCUCCCCCAUACACUGUCGAAGACGGCAUUGGGAGUUACUUUUACCAUAUACAUUUUCGGAAUUUGGAUAUGGCUGCAGCAGAUUCUUUAGUAAAAAAUGAAAAAUUUAGAGAGGGUUAUUGUGGGUUUUGCUGCUCGACUUAUUAAUGAAGACAGCUGAGAGUUUUGUAGGGAGGAGCUGGUUCAAAUCUUUAAUGCAUCAAGACGGUUGACGAGUAAAGUCAGUCUGCGAUGAUGAAUAUGGUAAAGAGAGGUCAUGUAGUACUGAAUGUACAUAUGUUUUGGUCAGGCACCAGCUGCUUUGAGUUGACGUUGUAGUUAGUCAGGAAUGCAGGAUGCUGCAUUUGUCCUGCACAAUAAGUGAUAAACUGAGUAUGUACAUAUGUUUUGGUUAUUGCUGUUUAAAGGGUUUGGAAACUUAAACCAUUUAGUGUAUAAUUGUGUGUUUUUUUA